AAAUGAACAUGGAAUAAGAUGGAAAAACUCAGUGUAGUAAAUAUUACAGCUAAGCUUCAUUCUAAAUGCUCAUGCCAAGGGUAAUAUAUUAUGUUUGUUCUCAUAAAGUACAGUAGUGCAAAUUAACAUGGAAUAGGAUGGAAAUACUCAGUGUUGUAAAUAUUACAGCUAAGCUUCAUUCUAAAUGCUCAUGCCAAAGGUAAUAUAUUAUGUUUGUUCUCAUAAAGUACAGUAGUGCAAAUUAACAUGGAAUAGGAUGGAAAUACUCAGUGUUGUAAAUAUUACAGCUAAGCUUCAUUCUAAAUGCUCAUGCCAAAGGUAAUAUAUUAUGUUUGUUCUCAUAAAGUACAGUAGUGCAAAUUAACAUGGAAUAGGAUGGAAAUACUCAGUGUUGUAAAUAUUACAGCUAAGCUUCAUUCUAAAUGCUUAUGCCAAAGGUAAUAUAUUAUGUUUGUUCUCAUAAAGUAGUGCAAAUUAACAUGGGAUAGGAUGGAAAUACUCAGUGUUGUAAAUUUUACAGCUAAGCUUCAUUCUAAAUGCUCAUGCCAAAGGCAAUAUAUUUUGUUUGUUCUCAUGAAAUAGGAUUUUAUACCUUGGAAACAGUAUCUGUUAGAAUUAGAUAUCCUCAUGACCAAAAUUAUACUCACUAUUAAAGGUGAUAUAGGUAAUGACACUCUCUCUCUCUCUCUCUCUCUCUCUCUCUCUCUCUCUCUCUCUCUCUCUCUCUCUCUCUCUCUCUCUAACACA